UUAGAUCUCUGGCUGCCCAAACAAACAGGGCAGCUUGCUGCUGGCAGGGCAGGCAGCAACAUUGCCUGGCUGCAAGGCUUCAUGUAUCAUCCUUGGAGGGCCAACCUCUGGGUGCAGGGCAGAGGCCACCACUGGUUCACUGCCACCUACCAUUGGAACCACUUGGCUGUGUUGGCUGCAUCAGCGGUGUACCUGGGUCUGGACACUCCUGCUCCAGUGGCAGGAGGUGCAGGAGCAGGUGCAGGAGGUACAGGAACAGGCCUGAUUUCAUAGACAUUAGGGCUGGAAGGGAUCUCGGAAGAUCAAGCCCAGCCCCCUGCCCAAAGAACAGGAAGUCAGCAGGGGGUCAUAGGAUCCCAGGAAGAUAGACAUCCAAAUGUCUCUUGAAGGCAUUCAAGACAGCAUCCUCAAUAAUGUGGGGACCACAGUUCUGUGGAAAGGGAGAAGGAAUGUGCUACUGUGAGAUGAGGCCACAGUGCCCUAAUGUCUGCCCCGGAAGUGAGUUUUGAAACUACUCUGAAAAUUCUGGUGCAGAGUGUUACGGACUGAAAUGAGUGACAGGAAUGAAAGCAGGAACAGGAACCUCUACAGAGAGUUCAGUGUUGCAUACAGUGUUCUGCGUGUGUGGCUUGAAGGGUGGAUUCCAUUGCCUAAGUUAUGCACGGGUCCCACACAAGCCCUGUUCUUUCCAGCUUUAUGCAAGGAGGGAUAAAGUUCAUUCAUUGUGGAUCUGGAGGAAUAAUGCUGUUCAAACAGAAUGAAAUUCACCCGUGGCACAGAGGGCCAAUACAAGACCCUCACAGCACUUCAGCCCACAAUAGGAGCUGUGUGGAGGGACUGCAGCUUUCCAUGGGAGCAUUCAUGCCCUAGUGUGAUGUCCAAAAGGGCCUCUAUCCUGGAGCCACAUCAAUUUGUGUAUAAUUACUGCUUUUUUAAAUGAUAUGCCCCACCUCAGCCACAACUUAUGAGCUUGAUGCAGUUAUUACUGGGUAAGAUUCUAUGGCCCAAGUUAUGUAGAGGGUCAGACUUAAUCAUAUUAAUCCACUCUAGCCUUAAAAUCUAUGACUGUGAAGACCCAGAUGAUGAAGCCAGUGGUGUGCCAGGGGAGUGGUCAUGUGACCUCACAGAACCAGUAUAAAAUGACUACAGGUGUUUUAGCCACCCUUGGGCUGGAAUAAAGGCUGCGUAGUAGCACGGUGUUUGGCCCCUGCGCAUUGAAGGAUUGGAUAUUAGCACUCCAGCUGUAGAAAUCCCAGCUCUCCUGGAUUUAUGCAAGUGCAGCAGAUUUUUCCUUUGUUGUAUUAUCUUUCUUCAAAGAGAACUUGAAUGUAAGGGAAAAUACAUUUGUUACAUGGAAAACAUAUUACCUAAGCAGCUAUGAUUAUUGAUGUUUAUAUGCUGCCAUAACCCACAAAAAAGAGGCUUCUGUGUCAAGGGGCUUAUAUUGUAAAGGUAUCCCCAUUUUCACACACAGCUAACAGUUCCAUUGUAUACUAAAGGUAUUUUGUUUCUUCAGAUACCAAGAGAUACAUGCACAAGGGCAUGAAUCCUAAUCAACAUAUAUCCACAGCAGAAUUGUACCAGUUUACUCCAGCUGAGAUGUCACCAGCUGUUUUUAAGAGAUCGCUCUGCAUUAAUUAGUACAGGACUUUUAAACCUUUUAAACCUCUGGGGGGUGGGGGUGGGGUGGUGAGAGGGGCACAUGUCCUGGGACCAUACCAGAUGGGACAGCAUGCUAUGAGCCAGUUUGCUGCCUGCCACAUGGACACUUCUGCUACUCCAUUUCUACUUUUGUGCCAGGAACUCCGCAACUUAACCCCUUGUGGGCUGCACGUGGCUCAUGGGCUGCCAGUCAGACAGCCCUGAAUUAAUAUAUCUAAUUCAUUAUACCAUGCUUAUCAUCAUAGUAUCGGAGAUAGUAAGUCCUUGGCCUUUAAAUCUGAUUCAUAUCUUCCUUUUGCAUGAAUAAGAUGAAGUAGGCUUCAGCCCGAAAUAUAUAUGCUGCUUUCUAUAAAUCUUGAUACUUCUUGUUGAAACAUAGGUCAAAUAAGGACUGCUGUAUAUCUCCUCAUUUUAUAUGUGAGUGUCUUUUACAUCCUUUCUGCACAUUUUCACCUACAGCUAGCAGUUCCAAAGGUAUACCAAAAGAUAUUUUAUUUCUUCAAAUUCCAAGAAAAUGAAUGCAGAGUGGUGGUCAAUCCUUCAUGGGUCAUUUCUAAUUUGAGUAACAGCACUCAAUCAUCUGUAACAAAAGCUAAAAUACUUAAAGUACCAGCAAAAUAAACUGCGUUUUGGACAAAUGCUUUUUCUUCCAAUUUUUUCCUGGUGCAAAAAACAUUUUUCCCUCAUUGACUAUACCGAGUGCAUUAUUCAUUUAGCAAGGGGGGAACUCUCAGAAGUGGUAAAUGAAUGGGAGUUUUAUUAAAAUCAUUUGUUAAAUCUGAGCACUUGUAUUUGAAUACAGCCAGGUAGCUGAAAAAUGAAUGCUAGGAAGAGCACUUAAACAAAGAUAGGAGUUAAGGCACAAGCUCUCUGGCAUAGUGAAAUCUUUAAGGCAGGCUAGGAUACUAUCCAAGAUAUUCUACAACUGUCUGAACAAGCAAAGGCCUGCAGGUCAGAACAAGCCAUGGAUUUCAGAUCUCUGGGUCAAUGAAAUCACUGAGAGUGAAGCAAGCUGCAAGUCUGCAGAGUGCUUCCUUUCAUCAUCAAUAUUAGGGUCAACUGUAUUCUGCUGGUUUAUUUGAAGGAGGGGAGUUGGAGAGAGCCAGUUGCUUGGCUCCCUCACCCCAACUCUGUGUUCUCUUUCUGUAAUCCUGCUGUAAGUUUUUCACUAGGGAAUUCACCCCUCCUCCACCUCCUUUGUGGCUGGUAUUAUAAUUUUCUAAAUAACAAAAUGCCAUUUCCUGAGGCUCCAGUUUGGAGACCUUUGCAUCCACAUCAAACCCACUCCCACCAAAAAGGGACACAUGGAAAUUGUUCUCAGAGGCAUAUGUUGUUUAGAUCUCAGAAUCUGACAAAUAAAUCACUGGCAUGGGAUCUCGUUUUUUGGUUUCCAAAUUUAGUUUGAAGAGAUUAGCAGAGCUGGUCAAAUAAUAUUCAGCAAACCAAAUAUUC